GCCGCUCUGAGGGAGGUGGCAGCACUGGUGAGGUCCAGGACGCACAAAAGCUCACCGCCGCCAGCGCGGAGUGCUGCGAGGUAUUUGACGGCGACAGGCAAAAGCGGGGGGAGCGAAGAGGUCGAGUU
rnacentral:rRNA from 12 species